CUCCUGGCCUUAAUUGGCUAGGUCGCGGCUCCGGCGCUGUUACUUUGAAAAAAUUAGAGUGCUCAAAGCAAGCUUGUGCUCUGAAUACAUUAGCAUGGAAUAACGUGAUAGGAGUCUGGUCCUAUUGUGUUGGCCUUCGGGACCGGAGUAAUGAUUAAUAGGGACUGUCGUGGGCAUUCGUAUUUCAUUGUCAGAGGUGAAAUUCUUGGAUUUAUGAAAGACGGACCACUGCGAAAGCAUUUGCCAAGGAUGUUUUCAUUAAUCAAGAACGAAAGUUGGGGGCUCGAAGACGAUCAGAUACCGUCCUAGUCUCAAACAUAAACGAUGCCGACCAGGGAUCGGCGGAUGUUGCUCUAAGGACUCCGCCAGCACCUUCUGAGAAAUCAGAGUGUUUGGGUUCCGGGGGGAGUAUGGUCGCAAGGCUGAAACUUAAAGGAAUUGACGGAAGGGCACCACCAGGAGUGGAGCCUGCGGCUUAAUUGGACUCAACACGGGGAAACUUACCAGGUCCAGACAUAGUAAGGAUUGACAGAUUGAGAGCUCUUUCUUGAUUCUAUGGGUGGUGGUGCAUGGCCGUUCUUAGUUGGUGGAGCGAUUUGUCUGGUUAAUUCUGAUAACGAACGAGACCUCAACUUGCUAACUAGCUACGCGGAGGUUCCCCUUCGCGGCCAGCUUCUUAGAGGGACUAUGGCCGUUUAGGCCAUGGAAGUUUGAGGCAAUAACAGGUCUGUGAUGCCCUUAGAUGUUCGGGGCCGCACGCGCGCUACACUGAUGCAGCCAACGAGCUUUUCUUCCUGGUUCGAGAGGAUCGGAAAAUCUUUUCAAAUUGCAUCGUGAUGGGGAUAGACCAUUGCAAUUAUUGGUCUUCAACGAGGAAUUCCUAGUAAGCGCGUGUCAUCAACUCGUGUUGACUACGUCCCUGCCCUUUGUACACACCGCCCUUCACUCCUACCGAUUGAAUGAUUCGGUGAAGUGUUCGGAUUGCGUCGACGAUGGUGGUUCGCCGUCGUCGACGUCGUGAGAAGUUCAUUGAACCUUAUCAUUUAGAGGAAGGAGAAGUCGUAACAACGUUACCGUAGGUGAACCUGCGGUAG
rnacentral:rRNA from 1 species